rnacentral:rRNA from 1 species
AAGCGGAGGAAAAGAAACCAACAGGGAUUGCCUUAGUAACGGCGAGUGAAGCGGCAACAGCUCAAAUUUGAAAGCUGGCCCUUUUAGGGUCCGCGUUGUAAUUUGUAGAGGAUGAUUCGGCGAGGGCUCCCGCCUAAGUCCCCUGGAACGGGGCGUCAUAGAGGGUGAGAAUCCCGUAUGCGGUGGGUUGCCUUAGCCAUGUGAAUCUCCUUCGACGAGUCGAGUUGUUUGGGAAUGCAGCUCUAAAUUGGAGGUAAAUUUCUUCUAAAGCUAAAUACUGGCCAGAGACCGAUAGCGCACAAGUAGAGUGAUCGAAAGAUGAAAAGCACUUUGGAAAGAGAGUUAAAAAGCACGUGAAAUUGUUGAAAGGGAAGCGCUUGCAACCAGACUUGUCCGCAGUUGCUCAACCGGUCUCCUGACCGGUGUACUCUUCUGCGGCCAGGCCAGCAUCAGUUCGGGCGGUCGGAUAAAGACCUUGGGAAUGUAGCUCCUCUCGGGGAGUGUUAUAGCCCAAGGUGGAAUGCGGCCAGCCUGGACUGAGGAACUCGCUUCGGCAAGGAUGCUGGCGUAAUGGUUGUAAG